UUCCAGUUGGUGUGAGAGACUGAAGACAACGAUGGCGACUUGGUCCCUCCUGAUGUGUUUGGUGCUGGCUGCAGCCCUGCUGGGCGAAGGUCAAGCUGAACAGGGCGAUGGAAACCGCAUUGUCGGUGGGAGUGAAGCUGAGGCCCAUAGCUGGCCAUGGCAAGGGUCUUUGCAGUAUCGAGGCAGCCACAUCUGCGGAUGCACGCUCAUCAACGAGAACUACUGCCUGACUGCCGCCCACUGUGUGUACCG